ACUGACAGAUCCACUGAAACUUUGGCUUCUUCGUUGUGACUUUUGUAAGCAAAAUUUAAUUUGAGACUCACGCUCUCUCUAUGCUUCUUCCUCCGCUUUUCUCUUCCGGCUCUAUUUUUCUCGCUGGAUUUUCUAUAUGCAUGAUAGAAAUUGAUUUCAGAGGUCGAAGCAAUGAUGAUAUUCUGGGGUAUGAAAUUAUUUGGGCGUAGCGACAAUCAAACCCGUAUCUUUGCUUGGCGAAAUUUGGAUAGUAUGUGAUUUGAGGUUUCCAUAUCACAUGCAAUAUGUUAUUCUGAUUUGGGUUCAUGCUAAAAAAAUUUCCCGGUGGCUUGUGAUUUUGUGGUACUUUAAAACCUGGAAGGAUGAGCAUUUCUGGCAACUUAUGUCAUUUUGGUCCUCAUCAAGGAAGUGAUAUUAAGGAGCUAACAAUAAUGGAUCGUGGAGUGUACGUCUAUUCAAAAAUAUUGUUAGCCCUGCUAUGUUCUUUCCUAUUAUCUGGUAUAUCUAAAGGUAAUAUAGUAGGGCACAAUAUAAAACGUUUGCGAAGCCGUUGAAUAUUAGCUGAAAUAUCUUGAAUUUCUGAGAAUACACAAGUACCAUACAUGCUCCUUCUUUUGUCAUAGUACCUCUUACUGCGCUGGUGAGGUCUAUUUUCUUAAUUCCUUCUUUUUCCCUAGAAAUGUAUUCAUGCACCCUUGUUCGAGAAUAUGUUGAUUGACUAUUUAAUAUACGUGAGAAAAUUCAGACCCAUGUAAAAGUGACACCAAGGUGAUGGAAUGAAUUGUUGUCUUAAUUGAGGUUAAAAAUACAAGUCUGCCUUCAUCUGUGUGUUGGUGUCUCUGUCUAUGAGACAAUUCUGUUGAAGUAAGCAAGGAUUAAUUCUUUAAAUAGUGAUUGGAACUUAUAUAGUAUGAAAGUACUCUAUUUUGUUCUGCUACUGUCCAUUUAUAAGGCCUGAUGGUGUGUUUAUAUAUGAAGUUUUUGCAAAAUUGAUGGUGGGUCGAUAUGGUCCUAUUGAACUUUAAGGAGGAUAAGAAAAAAAAUAAAGAAAAGAAAAAGUUGUUGGCUUUGGCUUUCUGUUCCCUCUUUUCAUUAGUUAAUGUUUCGAUUAUGCAGGGGCAAUACCAUGCACAUUUAAGAAAUGAAAGAAGUAAAAGUUGGGAUUGCUGUAGUGUAUUGGAAUCUUGACGGUCACGGUCAUGGACGGAUAUCCAUGUAGAGAAUUUCAGUAUAUCUAAUUGGUGGUCAUGUCUUUAUUGUCGAUGGUUCAUCAAACUUCCUUUUUUGAAGACACUAUGGUGACUUAGACUUCCUUUUGUAUUAAAGAGAUGGAGAAACAUUUUGCUUUGCAGUUUGUUUUUUAAUCUAUUUGUCCUUUUCACGUUAAGUACUUCGUGACUGUAGUAUUUCACGAAAUGUGGAUUUUUUUCUUAGGAAUCUUUCCUCUAUAGGGUGCUUUCUAUUUAAAUCUGUAUAUAUUUCUUGAUGUCUUAAGCAAGUUAAUUGUUUCAACUCUUUUUUCUGUGGUACCUAUGUUUUUGGUCCAGGAAAAGAAAAACUUCAAGUACUCCAUUGGAGUAGAGAUCACUAUGAUGAAACUUGGAUAAAAUGGAUCAAUUUUGUGAAAUAGUAUGUGCCUCACUUUGGAGGAAUCUGGGGCUUGCAAGGACAAGAAAUCUUCUUGCUCUCAUGUCGAGAUGAUUUUCCUAAGGAUACCAAAAAAGAAGCUUUCACUGGUAAUCUGCAAUGCUUUUAGGCAAGGGUUUUGCAUUUGAUUCUUGAUAUAAGGUACUUGGUUGAUUUAAAAUCUCUAACCCUUUAGAUAUACAGAUUAUGGAAUGAUGAAAGAAAUGUGAAAUGCUUAUGAAUCUAUUGGUUGGAUGGCUCUAAGUUGAAAUAUCUGUAAUUUAUUGUUUGUACAUGAAAGAUCUUACAUUACCAAUGUCUUCUUUUGCUUUGAAUGGAGACAUGAGUUGUCAGGUAGAAAAUCGUUUGAGGUUAUGAAGAAGAAAAGAAACUUGAAAGUACUAUUUCGAGAUAUCAGAUGUUCUAUUUUGAUGAAAUGUGUUCUGUUGUUAUAUAGAGCAUAAACGGAAUUAUUUGAUUUUUUCUAUUAUAAUUGUAAUUUGUGAGAGGAACAAAUAGGUGCAAUUACAAUAGUCCAUUCUAAAAUUUUAGGUGUUAUAUUGUAAGAUGCUAUUCAUAUUACUAUUUAGAGUUUGUGGUGAUAAACUUUACUGUAAUACUAAAAACUUAAG